CAAUCUGUUUGGGGCAAAUCCUCAUUUAGUUAUGACAAGCCCACACUUAAUUGCUUAGAAUCACUCGUUAUCAUAAACACAAUUACAUCAUUAACAUUGAAAAACAAAGAACAAUUACUAUGUGAAUAAUAACUUUUU
rnacentral:pre_miRNA from 13 species